UUCUUUAAUCUUUUCAGAGUUCUCAGUGUUUCUCAGGACCAAAUUCCCUCAGUCAUGAUUUAACCAGCAUCUCCUUGAAGGAUUUAGUAUCUUCUCAACCCCCACUGUUAAGAACAACUUUACAGGAAGGUUAUCAAGAACUGAGUCAAGAACAGAUAGAGCAACUCAGGGCUGAAAUAAACACUAUCAAGGCCAACUACAGGAGCAAAAAUGGAGAAGAAGUCACUCCUAGCUUGUCACUACUAAAUAAGAGACCUGUAAACGUUACUCAGAAUCACCUAAUGGCUGCACUUGCAAACACAAAACCAUCGGUUAGUCAAGAUGACUGGAAAAAAUUCACUGAACUCUACGAAACGUUUCGAAAUCCAAAGAGGAAAGGGGCCAGUGGAGCAACUUUCAAACCAGGACAAAAAGUGACGUUAGCUUAACUACUGUUUAUAUUGUGGUAAUUUUGAUAACUGAGAAAUUUUCAUAGAAAAGAAUUUACCUUGCUAAAUCAGAUGGACAUUUAUACCUCUGGGUAUGUUAAUGCUAAAAUAACAAACAAUAGAUUUCUGUGAUGUUAAUUUUUGUAAAAUUGUUUUAUAUCAUUUUAGUUUUCAGAUAAUGUUUUCCUGAACAACUACAUUAAAAUAUUUGAGACACUAUUAGCCA